UACGGGGGGGGCAAGCGUUGUUCGGAAUUACUGGGCGUAAAGGGCUCGUAGGCGGCCAACUAAGUCAGACGUGAAAUCCCUCGGCUUAACCGGGGAACUGCGUCUGAUACUGGAUGGCUUGAGAUUGGGAGAGGGAUGCGGAAUUCCAGGUGUAGCGGUGAAAUGCGUAGAUAUCUGGAGGAACACCUGUGGCGAAAGCGGCGCACUGGACCACAACUGACGCUGAGGCGCGAAAGCCAGGGGAGCAAACGGG
rnacentral:rRNA from 1 species